UAGUGGCGAACGGGUGAGUAACACGUGGGCAAUCUGCCCUUCACUCUGGGACAAGCCCUGGAAACGGGGUCUAAUACCGGAUAACACCUGCCCGGGCAUCUGGGUGGGUUAAAAGCUCCGGCGGUGAAGGAUGAGCCCGCGGCCUAUCAGCUUGUUGGUGAGGUAGUGGCUCACCAAGGCGACGACGGGUAGCCGGCCUGAGAGGGCGACCGGCCACACUGGGACUGAGACACGGCCCAGACUCCUACGGGAGGCAGCAGUGGGGAAUAUUGCACAAUGGGCGAAAGCCUGAUGCAGCGACGCCGCGUGAGGGAUGACGGCCUUCGGGUUGUAAACCUCUUUCAGCAGGGAAGAAACGAAAGUGACGGUACCUGCAGAAGAAGCGCCGGCUAACUACGUGCCAGCAGCCGCGGUAAUACGUAGGGCGCAAGCGUUGUCCGGAAUUAUUGGGCGUAAAGAGCUCGUAGGCGGCUUGUCACGUCGGGUGUGAAAGCCCGGGGCUUAACCCCGGGUCUGCAUUCGAUACGGGCUAGCUAGAGUGUGGUAGGGGAGAUCGGAAUUCCU
rnacentral:rRNA from 1 species